UAAGAAAUAACAACUAAGGAGUUUUCAGAGAGGGCCACCGCAGGAGCCUUCUUUAGCUGGGGUCCCUCUAGACCUGAGGCCCAAACUGCAAGGAGCCAGCUUUCCAGAG